UUGAAUAUCAGAGGGGGGCCGGGACCGGAUGGCGACGCGUGGGAUUAGCUAUUUGGUAGGGAGACGGGAUACCAAGGGGACNAGUAGUAGCCGACGUGGUAUGGUGAGCGGCCACAUGGGAAGUUAGACACGUUCCAAACUCCUACGGGAGGCAGCAGUGGGGAAUAUUGCACAAUGGGCGAAAGCCUGAUGCAGCUACGCCGCGUGGGUGAUGAAGGCCUUCGGGUCGUAAAACUCUGGCCGCAAGGAAGAUAAUGACGGUACUUGAGGAGGAAGCCCCGGCUAACUACGUGCCAGCAGCCGCGGUAAUACGGAGGGGGCUCGCGUUAUCCGGAUUUACUGGGCGGAACGGGUGCGCAGGCGGUCUUUCAAGUCCGGAGUGAAAGGCUACGGCCCGACCGUAGUCAGCUCUGGACACUGGGAGACUCGCGUGCAGGCGAGGAGAGUGGCAGUCAUACAGUAGCGGUGCGAAGCGUAGACAUUAGGAGGCGCUCCAGUGGCGCAGGCGGCUCUCGGGACUGUGAACGGCGAUGAGGCG
rnacentral:rRNA from 1 species